rnacentral:rRNA from 1 species
GGAAUAUUGGACAAUGGGCGAGAGCCUGAUCCAGCCAUGCCGCGUGCAGGAAGACGGCCCUAUGGGUUGUAAACUGCUUUUAUACGGGAAGAAACACUCCUUUGUGAAGGGGCUUGACGGUACCGUAAGAAUAAGGAUCGGCCAACUACGUGCCAGCAGCCGCGGUAAUACGGAGGAUCCAAGCGUUAUCCGGAAUCAUUGGGUUUAAAGGGUCCGUAGGCGGGACAAUAAGUCAGCGGUGAAAGUCUGUGGCUCAACCAUAGAAUUGCCAUUGAUACUGUUGUUCUUGAGUGUUUAUGAAGUGGUUAGAAUAUGUAGUGUAGCGGUGAAAUGCUUAGAUAUUACAUGGAAUACCGAUUGCGAAGGCAGAUCACUAAUAAAAUACUGACGCUGAUGGACGAAAGCGUAGGUAGC